ACAAUAAACUCAUUCAAACUUCUCCUCCAGGAUGAAAGUGAGCAGUCAUGUUCUUAUCUUUAGCUACUCCCUUCUGCCGUUCCCAGGAUCUCCUUUCUUCCAGAUGGGGAACCUCCAGACCUGAUGGACCACUGCGACAGCUCCAUGACCUCCCCGAUGCUCCAGAGCUCUCCUGGAAGAACUAAUGCUGGAUAACAAAGCAGAAGACCAGCAGGACUUAUUUCUGGAGGAUCAGCAGCAAACGUUGGCGCUCUCAUGAACUCGAGACUAAAUCUGUCUGAUCUGAGCUGGAUCCUCUGCAGUUCAUUUGGUUGAACCCCAGGGGUCAGUACAGAGCGUGAACAGUAAUGUCUAUGUCCAGAAGUUCCUGAUCCGACCUCGGGAUGAACACACUGGAGGCCGAGGUUACAGAUGUUUGUCUUCAGCUCAGACUUUUCCUUCUCGUGAGUCUUUUCCAGACAUCUGAUCAAUGUUUUCUGCCUCUGAAGCAGAGCCAAAGGAAGCAGUCCAGAUGUGUGGAGCUGGCGUGCCAGAAUGAUGGGGUCGUUUUUACAAUAGAUCAAAAGAUGAUUGGAGUGGGUCUUCAAUAAAGAAGCUCAAAUGAUGAUCAUGUUGAUCCAGCUAACUAUCAUGUCUGGUCUAGUUAAUAUGUUUACCUGGAUGUUUGUUUGUGUAUUAGUCUGCAAAAUGAAGUCGAGCUUCACCCAGAGUCUUCAUUGGAGUUC